UUAUUAUAUAACAUAGUUUACACAAGAUUAAACAUUUAUAUGCAAGGCAGUAACAAUACUGAAUAUAUCAACUGAAGGCACUGACAAAAUUACAACAAAUAUUGAUUGAUUGAUUGAUUGUUUCUUAACAUCACCUUAGCAUAUUUAUACACAAAAUAAUAAUCAAUUUUGAUGCAGAAUUAGUCAGUGGGUAAAUAAAAUUUUUCAUAUACACUAUUUGAAAUUUAAUAGCCAUUUUUAGUUAAGAAUGUAUGGUUUAAAAAAGCCACAACCAUUUAAAUUAGAAUCAACAUUAUUUUAGUAGAUUAUCUAAAAUUGAAUGUUAAAAGUACUAAUCAUCAUGAGAGACUUGUAUAACAAGUAUAUUUUUCUAAAGGAUGAUUAUGUAGUAUUCAAAUAUGAUAUAUGUAUUCCAUACACAUUUAUUUAUUUUAUGAAAAUGUGAGAUAUUUUUCAUUUAGUUCUUCAGGUUAGCAGCUACCAUUAUAAUGUUGUUCCAUUUUGUUAAGUAAAAUAGACAAAAAUACUAUAAAACAACUAAUUUUUUGCAGAUAUUUUGUUUCACAGGUUGCCCAUACUAGCCUAUUUCACAGCAAUUUGAUAACAAUUUUUCAAAUGGUUAUUCUAAAACUCACCAAAGACUCAAACAUAAUUGGUUUGCGAAAAUUAGUUGAUUUAUAGUAACUCAAAUUUAUUUUAAUUGAUAAAUUAAAAUAGAACUUUACAUCUUAUAAUGGAGUUACAGUAUAUUUAUUUUUCUUUUCUUAUUUUUUAAGUUAUAAAUCCUGUGAAGCAGUUUUUGACCUAUCAACAUACCAUAAGAAACACUUGCAAUGUAGGUCCUCCAGUACUGUUGUAAUAUAACUUUAAGCAAUGAUAGUAUAUAAAUUAAAAUACAUUUCUAUCAGAAAUUAGCACCUUUUAGUUAUCAAUUAAAGACCAAUGCCCCUAAGAUAAAAUAACACAUAAGUUUUGAAAUAAUGAUAGUAACUUUUAAAGUUUCAAUUUUUUUCAAUUUUUUUUAAUUUCAUCCUUAGCAUUCAAGGAAAAUUAAUCAUUCACCUUACACAUAUUGAAUUUCAUUUCUGCAUUCAGAAAACAGGGCAUAAUAUUAACAUAUUUUUUUAUGAAUUUAUAAAUCUAUAACUUUUAUAUGAAAUAAAGUUUCUACUAAUUUGAGGCACAAAACUCAGCUAAACAAUAGAUUUAAGGCAAGUUUGACAAGUAUAUAUAAAUUUAUUUAUUAAAUGCAAAUGACAGUAUUGACCAUACUGUCAAACCUGAGUAAUGUUAAAACAUAAAAUCUUAAUAGGGACUUAUGUUUACUUUUUCCUGAUAAAAAUAACAAUAUAUUUUAGUAUUAGAACCUUAAGCACCCACAUACCAAUAAUGAAAAUAUUUCCUCAAAUUUAUGUGAUGUCAAAAUCUACUUUCAGCAAGAAAAACAACAAUAUUUACCAAUACAAUUUUGACUGUCUUAACAACUUAAUUAUUAAGUAGUCAUACUCAUGUUACAACUUGAAACAAUAAAUAAUUUAGUACUUUAUACAAAUUGGUAAAAUAUACAAAUUUUCAAAUGACUGUUGGAAAUUUGUUCAAAAGGAUUUAAUAGCCAUUGUACUUUAAUAUCUUUUCAUAUAUAGAUAUAGGAAGAUGUGGUAUAUGUGACAAUGAAACAAAUCUCCAUCCAAGUAACAAUUUAUAAAUGUAAACCAUUAUAGGUCAAGGUAUUGCCUUCGACACAGAGUUUUGGCUCACACCAAACAGAAAGCUAUAAAGGGCCCCCAAAAUUACUAGUGUAAAACCAUUCACAUGGGAAAACCAACUGGCUGAUCCAUAUAGAUGCUUUUGAUUGAUAGAUUAAGGGACUAUUUGUCAACUGAUAUAGUGUCAGAAUAUAAAUUUUGUAUUCUAGUUACAUAUAGAAUGUAAAGUCAAUGCCCAUGGUACAAAGUUUGUACAGAUAAUCAUCUACCAUUUCCUAAAUCUUAUAAAAUAUAUAUCUUUCAUUUUUUUUUCAAGAUACAAAUAUUGUAAAUCUAAUCUUGAAUCAAGACAAAUUUCUACAAAUGGUAUGAAAGAUACAACAUGUACAAUUAUAUUAUAUCUAAAUCUUAUAUUUUCAACUUCCUCUUAAAUGGCAAUAUAUUGGCAUCAAAACAAAAAUGUAUUUUAGUGAGACAUUAAGUAAUCUCCUGGCCAGUUAUAAUAUACACUAUAAAGUCUUCUGGAGUCAGGUUCUCAAAAAAAACUUAGGACUAAGAUUGGUGGUAAGUAUACUGAAUUGUUCAUGACUUAAGAUCAUCAUCAAUCUAAGUAGUAAUUUUUUUGUGAAACCGACUCCAAAUAUUAUUUAUAGAAUGAAUAAUCGAAGAAUUUUAAAAUAUAUUAAAUUUUCAACUUUUGAUCAAACUGUGAAAGUAUGUAGCACAUGAUUUGAUAAAUAUCUUUAUUUGGUCAUGAGUUGAAUAUUUUUCAAAAUUUAGAUUCUUGGAUAAGAUACACUUUUUUUACAUUUACUUUUUAUGCUGAUAUAAAGAGGAAAAUGCAAUCUUUCACCUUUUUUACAUAUUUCCACUUAUUUUUUAUUGAAUGGUCAAUUGAAAUGUUUACAUUAGAGGAGUGAAAUACAGCACCCAAAAAUUACUGAGGGUGAAAGAAAAUGAUUAAAAAAAAGAUACAUGACAAUAAAAAAAAAUAUUUUUUGAUUUCAAUCAUUUUUUAAAAC
rnacentral:lncRNA from 1 species